AUAAAUUCUGUGAUUAAAAGUAGUAAGUAUAUUUGUGUGUCAAAGCGAUUCAGGGAUGGUGAAAGCCUGAAACAUUAUGAUGUACUGAAUGGAUUUAUGAGAAGCUAGGUGAAAUUUUAUAAGAGUAACCAAAGUCGUGUGUUUCACGUUAUAGGAACAAGAUAUCGAAAAAUACUUAUAUUGUUUUUCCGUAUCUUUUUAAGUGAGAUGUUUAUCAUCUAAUUUAGGUGGCACCACGGAAAUAUACCUUUCGUCCUAUUA
rnacentral:ncRNA from 1 species